GGUCGGGAACUCAAAGGAGACUGCCAGUGAUAAACUGGAGGAAGGUGGGGAUGACGUCAAGUCAUCAUGGCCCUUACGACCAGGGCUACACACGUGCUACAAUGGCGCAUACAAAGAGAAGCGACCUCGCGAGAGCAAGCGGACCUCAUAAAGUGCGUCGUAGUCCGGAUUGGAGUCUGCAACUCGACUCCAUGAAGUCGGAAUCGCUAGUAAUCGUGGAUCAGAAUGCCACGGUGAAUACGUUCCCGGGCCUUGUACACACCGCCCGUCACACCAUGGGAGUGGGUUGCAAAAGAAGUAGGUAGCUUAACCUUCGGGAGGGCGCUUACCACUUUGUGAUUCAUGACUGGGGUGAAGUCGUAACAAGGUAACCGUAGGGGAACCUGCGGUUGGAUCACCUCCUUA
rnacentral:rRNA from 3 species